GCAACUUCCUGUGGAGCACCAAGCAGGCCCCAUCCUGGGAGGCCUGAUUCUGCUCAGUAAGCUUGCUCUGGAUUUUUCCUGAGACUAAAACCUUGAGGAGAUAAACUGUCCCAUGAAUGGUGAAUUUCAUGGUGACAGGACAGUUUCUGUUUGUGUUUGGGUUCUCUGGGCAGAAACCCUGAGCUCAGAGGGGAACCCCACCCACGACAUCAGAGCCCUCGGGCUGGGUCAUAUGACCUCAGUUGGCCCUGUGACCGAGCAUUUCUCUUGGUGACAUCAUCUCCACUCAGACUGCCCAGGUAUUUCAUGGCCUCUUGGGACCAGCAGGAAGUUGCAUCAUCUCCCAUGCAUGACUCUUAAUUUGUUUGUCUUUGUUUAAUUGUCAACCUGCACUGGGGGCCAGAGACAAAAUCAGACAGCCAGGCAGCAAACAUUUCCUACAGGGAGCUGCCUUGGCUGGGCCCUGGACUUCCCCAGCUCUGCCGGCCCGAGACCCUGAUGUCUUGGGACAGACCUCAGCUUCCGAAGCUCUCUAGAUCCGCCUCGAUGGCCCCAGCUACUGAGUCCCAGGCCUGUGUGUGCUCCUGUCUCCGCUCACAGCUCACUGUGUCCGGCCUGCCCAGCACCAGGGCUGCCUGAGGGAAGAAGAGACCAAGGCUGGCAGGGGGACCUCCCCGGGGAUCCAGAGCUGACUUCAUUGGCUCCCUCGCCCACCCGCAUGGCGCCCUUUGUCACCGGGAAGCCGAGUCUUGAUGUACAAGGAACAGGUCUGCUGUCAUCUCACAUCUGCCUGCCCAGUGCCCCUCUGCCAGGAGAUGGAGGUGGACCCACUGUCCUGGGUGCAGAGGAGGCACUCAAGCACAGAGUGUCCGGAAUCAAAGAAUUGCCUGCAGAGAACCCAGAUUGCAGCUCCCCUAGGGUCUUGCUAUGCAUUCCAGGCUGGCCUUGAAUUCAUGGCAUUCCUCCUGCCUCAGCCUCCCCAGCGCUGGGAAUACAGCCAACCCCUGGCCGCCCUCGGGCACCCCGUGGGUGUCACUUUGUCCAGGACAGCUCUCGGUGCCAUGGCAGCACUGCACUGGCACCAGGGGCUGGGCUGGGAGUCGGGUGCAGAGGGGAGAGAGGAGGUCCCGGAUCUGCCAGAGCACAGUGCAGAAGCCAAGGUGACAGAGGAAGAGGAGCCCCAGGUACUGCACACGCUCAGGGAACCCAGCCUAAGCCCAGGAGGCCCUGGAACUGGCACGUGGGGGUCACGGGUGCCUGGCCUGGAGCAAGGCCCCGUGUGGCCUCCUGUAAAGGAAGCUGUCACAGAGGAGCAGUCUGCAGGGUCCCUGGCAGUCAGCUGGCAGCAGCAAAUCUCCAAAGCCAGCGCCAACUCAGCUGGCGGUGCAGGCCCAGCCUGGGGGAGGAGGGGUCACAGGACCUGGUGGCGGGCAGACAGCACCAGCCCUGGCUCUCCGAGGAGGCGGCAGAGAAAGUGCCCAGGACGGGAUCCGUGCAGGCUCGAGGUGAACACGCAACAGGCCACUCAGCAUCUCCCACGUUUCUUUGCAGUGGGAAUUCGGGCUUGACAGCACCGGCCCAGACUUCCUGGUUUAGAGAUCAGUCAGUUCCGGCAGCGACAGGGCUCCAGGUGCCUGUUUCCCUAAAGUGCUCCAAAUGGAUGAGACGUGUGGGACUCUGCGUGAAGGGGCAGGAAAGGGCUGUUUACAUCCACACCUGCUCGGCCCACCUGCCCUACAGACUCACGCUAUCAAAUGUUUUCUAGUUGCUAUGACAAUCAAAUCACAGAGCCAGUAUUUGUUAUUGUUCCAGAGGGAAAAAAAGGAAGGACGGUACUGUGAGGCCCAAGUUCAUGUGUCAGUGGGCAGCUGAGUCACCCUGCCAUGGUCUGCCGAGUCCCAGAGCCAUUUUCCUAGGGUCUGAGACUCACACCUGCCACCCCUCUUCCCCAAGAGGAUGGUCCCCUGUCCGAGUCUUUCAACAAGCCCAGGUGGCAGACACCCCGGCCUGAGGACCACCAGCAGCCUGCAGGUGGGCAGCGAAGUCACCCAUGAGGACUCUGCCCUGCCCCAUGGAGUGGCAACUACCAGGCACUGCUGAGACCUCUUUCCUGAGUAUCUUUAGUUACACUGCUGCAACUGCCUCCAGGUCCUGAAUCCAUUCAAAACAUUUACCUUCCACGGUCAUUUUGACCUUGGGGAAAGACAGACUUUGCAGGGUGCCAGAUGCAGUGGCUAAGUGAGGGGAGGCACACCCUAAUUGCCUUUCUGUCGGAGGGCACUCAUCAGCAGUUUUCACAUCUCAUGAAGACGCUUAGGAAAGAGGACUCUAGAACUGCUCCAGAAAGUGGCCAGAACAGUGGGCUGAGUGUGUUCAAGGGGAAUUAAUGGCAGUGUAUCUUUUCCCAUGAUACAUUUUUGAAAUUGAAACCUCCACCAUGUACCUUGAUCACCUUGUAUUUCAUAGAUGGUUUCUAGAGUUGCCUAGCACUCGGCUGGCUCUGCGAGGGCCAAGCCACUUGAGUUCUCCAAGCCUCUGCCUCCUUGUGCACAACAGAGGGGAAGUAACACCACCUCAACAGAUUGCUCUGGGGAAGAAAGGCAAAAGCGCCAAUCAAGUGUUUACAUGGUACCUAGUUGCUAUGGUUUAUAUCUAGAUGUCCACAAGAGCACAUAGGCGAGGCUUUUGGAAGUUGAUUGUAUCAUGGGUCUUAUAGCUGACUUGCUGUUGGAGGAGGGGCCUGGACAGAAGAGGCGGCUCCCUGUGUGUGCCCAGGAAAGGUUCUACCUCCCUCCGGCUCCUUGCUCAACACCCUCUGCUUCCUGGAUACCUUGAUUCGAGCAGCUGUUCCCCUGCCAGGGCCCUCUUCCAUGCUGUCCUGCCUUGGAGCCAACGGACUACAGACUGAAACCUCUACAAACAUAAGCCAAAAUAAACCUCUGCUCCCACUAGUUGUAGGUGUUGGAUAUGAGAAAGUACUGAAGACACUAGCACGGUGCAAAGCACUCAGUACAUCAAUACAUGCCCACUGAGGUGGUGGCUGAUUGGCGGGACCCUGGGCAAAGGCCUCUGGACGGCUGGAAGGUGAGGCAGAGGGAGCUCCUGCUCCCCCAGAUACACACGGGGCAGGCAGGGGAGGCUGUGCCAAACGCAGCUGUCCCGGGCUUAGUCUGCUUUCUGUUGCUAUCACAAAAUACCUGAGACCAGGUAAUUUAUAAAGAAUGGAAGUUUAUUUGGCUCACAGUUCUGGAGGCUGGAAAGUCCAGAAGCACAGCACUAGGGUCUCCCCAGAGUCCAGUGAGGGCCUCUUACUGCAUACAACACGUGGUGAGGCAGAGCAGCCUCGAGUGGCGUUUCUCUUCCUCUUCUUACAAAGCCACUCAUGCACUGUGGGCUCCUUCUUCUCCUGGUGGCAGCUAAUAUAAUCCUCCAAACACCUUAACAUAUGGAUUUGAGGACUAAGUUUCCAACACACGAGCUCAGCCAUGGUGACCCCCUUCCACCUCCACAAACUUGACCUGAGAGGCUUCCAUGGCUCAGACCCGGAAGGGAAGCAGACAAGAGAUCCAGCAGUGAGCAGGGCGGGAGGACAAGGAGAGGCUUUGAGGCCCUCUGGGAGGAUCCUGAAGCGGUGCCUAGGACACCCAGGUGUGGGGCAGGUGCCUCGGGCUCCUAGUUACCCCUCACACCAGGGCUGUGCCAGGGGCACCUUCUGAGGACAGCUGGCUUUCUGGGUCGACUUCCCUGGAGAAAGGGUGUGGAUGGGCGUGGCUCGGGCCGAGGGGCUAAGCCAGAUCGCUGGGGUUUAUGCCCAGGGUGUGGUGUGAGCCAUUCAUGACUGGGAGGCUUCUAACCAUUUCUAGACCUACACGUGGAAAGCCAGCCCCGGGAAAGGCCUGACCGCCAUGGG
ensembl:lncRNA